UACGUAGGGGGCGAGCGUUGUCCGGAAUUACUGGGCGUAAAGAGCACGUAGGCGGCUAUAUAAGUCAGAUGUAAAAAACCUGGGCUUAACCGAGGGGAUGCAACUGAAACUAUAUAGCUUGAGUCAAGGAGAGGAGAGCGGAAUUCCUGGUGUGGCGGUGAAAUGCGUAGAGAUCAGGAAGAAUACCAGUGGCGAAAGCGGCUCUCUGGACUUGAACUGACGCUGAGGUGCGAAAGCGUGGGGAGCAAACAGG
rnacentral:rRNA from 1 species